rnacentral:rRNA from 4 species
GGGUUGUGAGGUUAAGCGACUAAGCGUACACGGUGGAUGCCCUGGCAGUCAGAGGCGAUGAAGGGCGUGCUAAUCUGCGAUAAGCGCCGGUAAGGUGAUAUGAACCGUUAUAACCGGCGAUACCCGAAUGGGGAAACCCAGUGUGACUCGUCACACUAUCAUUAACUGAAUCCAUAGGUUAAUGAGGCGAACCGGGGGAACUGAAACAUCUAAGUACCCCGAGGAAAAGAAAUCAACCGAGAUUCCCCCAGUAGCGGCGAGCGAACGGGGAGGAGCCCAGAGCCUGAAUCAGCAUGUGUGUUAGUGGAAGCGUCUGGAAAGGCGCGCGAUACAGGGUGACAGCCCCGUACACAAAAGCGCAUGUGCUGUGAGCUCGAUGAGUAGGGCGGGACACGUGGUAUCCUGUCUGAAUAUGGGGGGACCAUCCUCCAAGGCUAAAUACUCCUGACUGACCGAUAGUGAACCAGUACCGUGAGGGAAAGGCGAAAAGAACCCCGGCGAGGGGAGUGAAAAAGAACCUGAAACCGUGUACGUACAAGCAGUGGGAGCACCCUUUGGGUGUGACUGCGUACCUUUUGUAUAAUGGGUCAGCGACUUAUAUUCUGUAGCAAGGUUAACCGAAUAGGGGAGCCGGAGGGAAACCGAGUCUUAACCGGGCGUUAAGUUGCAGGGUAUAGACCCGAAACCCGGUGAUCUAGCCAUGGGCAGGUUGAAGGUUGGGUAACACUAACUGGAGGACCGAACCGACUAAUGUUGAAAAAUUAGCGGAUGACCUGUGGCUGGGGGUGAAAGGCCAAUCAAACCGGGAGAUAGCUGGUUCUCCCCGAAAGCUAUUUAGGUAGCGCCUCGUGAAUUCAUCUCCGGGGGUAGAGCACUGUUUCGGCUAGGGGGCCAUCCCGGCUUACCAACCCGAUGCAAACUGCGAAUACCGGAGAAUGUUAUCACGGGAGACACACGGCGGGUGCUAACGUCCGUCGUGAAGAGGGAAACAACCCAGACCGCCAGCUAAGGUCCCAAAGUCAUGGUUAAGUGGGAAACGAUGUGGGAAGGCCCAGACAGCCAGGAUGUUGGCUUAGAAGCAGCCAUCAUUUAAAGAAAGCGUAAUAGCUCACUGGUCGAGUCGGCCUGCGCGGAAGAUGUAACGGGGCUAAACCAUGCACCGAAGCUGCGGCAGCGACACUGUGUGUUGUUGGGUAGGGGAGCGUUCUGUAAGCCUGUGAAGGUGUGUCGUGAGGCAUGCUGGAGGUAUCAGAAGUGCGAAUGCUGACAUAAGUAACGAUAAAGCGGGUGAAAAGCCCGCUCGCCGGAAGACCAAGGGUUCCUGUCCAACGUUAAUCGGGGCAGGGUGAGUCGACCCCUAAGGCGAGGCCGAAAGGCGUAGUCGAUGGGAAACGGGUUAAUAUUCCCGUACUUGGUGUUACUGCGAAGGGGGGACGGAGAAGGCUAUGUUGGCCGGGCGACGGUUGUCCCGGUUUAAGCGUGUAGGUGUGUGUUCCAGGUAAAUCCGGUUCACUUUAACACUGAGGCGUGACGACGAGGCACUACGGUGCUGAAGCAACAAAUGCCCUGCUUCCAGGAAAAGCCUCUAAGCAUCAGGUAACAUCAAAUCGUACCCCAAACCGACACAGGUGGUCAGGUAGAGAAUACCAAGGCGCUUGAGAGAACUCGGGUGAAGGAACUAGGCAAAAUGGUGCCGUAACUUCGGGAGAAGGCACGCUGACACGUAGGUGAAGUGAUUUACUCAUGGAGCUGAAGUCAGUCGAAGAUACCAGCUGGCUGCAACUGUUUAUUAAAAACACAGCACUGUGCAAACACGAAAGUGGACGUAUACGGUGUGACGCCUGCCCGGUGCCGGAAGGUUAAUUGAUGGGGUCAGCGCAAGCGAAGCUCCUGAUCGAAGCCCCGGUAAACGGCGGCCGUAACUAUAACGGUCCUAAGGUAGCGAAAUUCCUUGUCGGGUAAGUUCCGACCUGCACGAAUGGCGUAAUGAUGGCCAGGCUGUCUCCACCCGAGACUCAGUGAAAUUGAACUCGCUGUGAAGAUGCAGUGUACCCGCGGCAAGACGGAAAGACCCCGUGAACCUUUACUAUAGCUUGACACUGAACAUUGAGCCUUGAUGUGUAGGAUAGGUGGGAGGCUUUGAAGUGUGGACGCCAGUCUGCAUGGAGCCGACCUUGAAAUACCACCCUUUAAUGUUUGAUGUUCUAACGUGGACCCGUUACCCGGGUUGCGGACAGUGUCUGGUGGGUAGUUUGACUGGGGCGGUCUCCUCCUAAAGAGUAACGGAGGAGCACGAAGGUUGGCUAAUCCUGGUCGGACAUCAGGAGGUUAGUGCAAUGGCAUAAGCCAGCUUGACUGCGAGCGUGACGGCGCGAGCAGGUGCGAAAGCAGGUCAUAGUGAUCCGGUGGUUCUGAAUGGAAGGGCCAUCGCUCAACGGAUAAAAGGUACUCCGGGGAUAACAGGCUGAUACCGCCCAAGAGUUCAUAUCGACGGCGGUGUUUGGCACCUCGAUGUCGGCUCAUCACAUCCUGGGGCUGAAGUAGGUCCCAAGGGUAUGGCUGUUCGCCAUUUAAAGUGGUACGCGAGCUGGGUUUAGAACGUCGUGAGACAGUUCGGUCCCUAUCUGCCGUGGGCGCUGGAGAACUGAGGGGGGCUGCUCCUAGUACGAGAGGACCGGAGUGGACGCAUCACUGGUGUUCGGGUUGUCAUGCCAAUGGCACUGCCCGGUAGCUAAAUGCGGAAGAGAUAAGUGCUGAAAGCAUCUAAGCACGAAACUUGCCCCGA